AAAUGUGUACGAAAAUACAAUGUUCACUGUUUUCUGCAGGCAUCUAUUUUGCUGUGGAACUGAAAUACAACCCAAAGAACUGCAAGGAAGAGAAAUAUCAAGACUACUUUCUCCAAAGAAAUCUGGAUUGAAAAUCAGAACACAGUGAAAAUGACUUAGAGAAAAUAAUGCCACAGAUAUAUCUAAAAUGUGAAUGAAGCUGGAAGCAGCAGAGGACCACACACCAUGAAAUGUAAACAGAGGAGAAAAAAGCUAGAUGCCAGACAGGAAGAGAAGAACCAGAAGAGCAGUCUUUACAAAUAGAGCAACACUAAUACUCCAAGAAGAUGGGCCAUGCUUAUCCUGAGUGUGCUCCCCAAAGAUGCCAGUCAGAAGCCGACAGUAUGGAAUGAAGGGCACCACAGGUGGAAGGAGAUGUGGCUCGGAGAGCAGAGAGUAGAAGAUACCAGAAAUUGGAUACUUUUAUAUGUCUUCCACUGGACCUCAUUCCUCAUCCCCAUGCCUCCCUUUCCCAAGGACCUACCUACCUCAGCAUGGGUGGCAGUGAGAAAGACAAUUUUUCAACUCUCAGAGAAUUCCACUGUGUUAAAUGAAAUGAAGAUAAAACUUGACACCAAGAACAUAUCUUGUGUACUUGAGAACAACUGGUCUAAGAAUACCUGUCUUCUGUGAUCUCUCAUCCUAAAAUUCUGCUGCAUCAGAAAUAGCUUCCCUCACUCAUUCAGAGUCUUCCAACUUUUAAACACUAUAUUCCCCCCAUCCCCCCAAAGUAAAAUAUCCAUCUUGGUUUUAAAAGGACUCUUCAUUACCUCUGCAGCUGCUCUCCCUUGAUUAUUCACUUAAUACUUUUUUUUUUUUUAA